rnacentral:tRNA from 1 species
GCUCCAGUGGCGCAAUCGGUUAGCGCGCGGUACUUAUACAGCAGUACAUGCAGAGCAAUGCCGAGGUUGUGAGUUCGAGCCUCACCUGGAGCACGUCCCUUUUGGGUACCGGACCUUCCUUUUAUCUCCUUGCCCAAGGGACCGAGUUAGUCUCUCUUUAGCCUUCUCAGUUCCUGUCUCUGAGUUCUCUGCGCGCACGUCCCGCUCCGCCGCAGGCAGGAAGCAGCUCGCAGUGGAGCCUCUUACCCACUUUCCAAGCGACUUGUUGCUCUCUCGCACCAUCCAGCCGGUCGAACCCGGACGUUUGCCUACUGCUCCCUCCUAGUUCUCCUCCUAGGCGUUUCCUUUAACGACACCCAGUCCCGGGGAUGCGGACGGGAGGUCCCAAGACGCUGCAGCGGUGAUGGGGCCCUGCUUGGGCAUCGAAAUCGAAAACACCGGGCGUGUCCGAGCUCCUGGCGCCGCGACCAGGCCCGGGUUCCCGGUCGCUGCCCCUUGCCCAGGGCAGGGUGCAGCGCGGCGCGCGCUGGGUGGCGGGGCCCGAGCUGGGCGACCACUCGCGGGAUUUGGGGCCCGAGGCCCGGCGCGGGGGCGCUAGUGCAGCAGCCGCUCCCUUCCUAAACUAGUAAUAACUAGUCAUUACCCCCUCCCUCAGAUCUGCAGAGACCCCUAGACCCCCUUCUCCCAUACCCAGACACCCGGGCCUCCCUGGGCGGAUUUGCAGAGUUUGAGAAAUUGCCUAGGGCGUUUCCCCUCCCCAUUUCGCGCCUCUUCUCCCGGUGUCAGUCUGGAGUGGUGGAAUUCGCUGGCAAAACGGAGAGCAGACGUCUUCUAGUGAUGUUCGAGUGGCGGGUGUCGUUUCAUGCAUGCCUCAAAUCCCAGGUUCAGAAGACCUCCCGGGGCCAGAAAAUCUCCCUCCCCCCGUGUGGCCAGCUGGUUUUUGAAGCCAGCACAGGAACACCCCUCGGAGACGCGGGGGCUGCGUUGACAAGGAUGAGGGGGUGCAUCACAUCCCCAGGAGGUGUGGACGAAGCAGGGAACCAGUUUAGUUGGGGUAAUACACUCACGUGUUCAAAAUUCAAAGCCUUAAAAAUAAACAACCUUUCCUGUUCAAUAUGUAAACAAACAACCUCAUGCUCCCGACAGAAAAGCAGCAAGGACAUGAAAAGGCAAUUUGUGGAAAAAAAUGUGUUAAGAAUGUCACCCUUAGUGUUAUAA